GUUUUCUUUCUUCUUAUUUGUUGGAGAAUGUUGAUAGAGGAUUAUAAAAUCUCCAGUGUAGCUUAAUAUGGUUGUAAUGAAGCUAUGGUCAUUCCCUUUUCAGGAAAUCCUCCAUUGUUUGAUGAUGCUGUUCUUCUCAUGAUGUCACUGUAAAUGCAUGACUUCUUUGCCAGAACUAGAGAGAGAAAGAGAGAGAGCAGGAGGAGGGGCAGAGGGGAAAGGAAAGAGAGAAUCAUAAGGAGACUCCCCAUUGAGCACAGAGCCCCACAUGGGGCUCAAUCCCAGGACCCUGAGAUCAUGACCUGAGCCAAAAUCAAGAGUGGGGCAUUUGACCGACUCAGCCACCUCAUCUACUUUUAAGGUUAGCCAGAGUUAAAUGUAUAUUAUUUCUGAUUUUGUUCUUUUCUCAACUCUUUCUACCUUUUAACCUCU
rnacentral:lncRNA from 1 species